UGGGGAAUAUUGGACAAUGGGCGCAAGCCUGAUCCAGCCAUGCCGCGUGAGUGAUGAAGGCCUUAGGGUUGUAAAGCUCUUUUACCUGGGAAGAUAAUGACGGUACCAGGAGAAUAAGCCCCGGCUAACUUCGUGCCAGCAGCCGCGGUAAUACGAAGGGGGCUAGCGUUGUUCGGAUUUACUGGGCGUAAAGCGCACGUAGGCGGAUCUUUAAGUCAGAGGUGAAAUCCCAAGGCUCAACCUUGGAACUGCCUUUGAUACUGGGGAUCUUGAGUCCGGGAGAGGUGAGUGGAACUGCGAGUGUAGAGGUGAAAUUCGUAGAUAUUCGCAAGAACACCAGUGGUGAAGGCGGCUCACUGGCCCGGUACUGACGCUGAGGUGCGAAAGCGUGGGGAGCAAACA
rnacentral:rRNA from 1 species